rfam:Danio rerio chromosome 4, GRCz11 reference primary assembly.
GCAUGGGUGGUUCAGUGGUAGUAUUCUCGCCUCCCACGCAAGAGACCCAGAUCGAUUCCCGGCCAAUGCA